GCCUCUAUGGCACAGGGGUAAUGCGUGCCACUCGUAAACAUCUACGGUGAUAUGGCAAGAUCCGCGGUUCGAUUCCGCGUGGAGGCA